rnacentral:rRNA from 1 species
GACGAACGCUGGCGGCGUGCUUAACACAUGCAAGUCGAACGGAAAGGCCCUGCUUUUGUUGGUUGCUCGAGUGGCGAACGGGUGAGUAACACGUGAGUAACCUGCCCUUGACUUUGGGAUAACUUCAGGAAACUGGGGCUAAUACCGGAUAGGAGCUCCUGCUGCAUGGUGGGGGUUGGAAAGUUUCGGCGGUUGGGGAUGGACUCGCGGCUUAUCAGCUUGUUGGUGGGGUAGUGGCUUACCAAGGCUUUGACGGGUAGCCGGCCUGAGAGGGUGACCGGCCACAUGGGGACUAAGGGACGGAGCAGACGGCUACGGGAGGCAGCAGGGGGGAAUAUGGCACAAUGGGCGGAAGCCUGAGGCAGAAACGCCGCGUGCGGGAUGACGGCCUUCGGGUUGUAAACCGCUGUCGCCUGUGACGAAGCGUGAGUGACGGUAAUGGGUAAAGAAGCACCGGCUAACUACGUG